rnacentral:rRNA from 1 species
AAUUCGCCCUUACUCCUACGGGAGGCAGCAGCUAAGAAUAUUCCGCAAUGGACGAAAGUCUGACGGAGCGACGCCGCGUGGAUGAUGAAGGCCGAAAGGUUGUAAAGUCCUUUUGCUGGGGAAGAAUAAGUGUGGGAGGGAAUGCCCGCAUGAUGACAUGAACCGGCGAAUAAGCCCCGGCCAACUACGUGCCAGCAGCCGCGGUAACACGUAGGGGGCGAGCGUUGUUCGGAAUUACUGGGCGUAAAGGGCAUGUAGGCGGUCUGGUAAGCCUGGCGUGAAAGGCCACAGCUCAACUGUGGGAUUGCGUUGGGAACUGCUGGGCUUGAGUUAUGGAGAGGGAGCUAGAAUUCCUGGUGUAGGGGUGAAAUCUGUAGAUAUCAGGAAGAAUACCGAUGGCGAAGGCAAGCUCCUGGCCGAUGACUGACGCUGAGGUGCGAAAGUGUGGGGAUCAAACAGGAUUAGAUACCCUGGUAGUCCACACUGUAAACGAUGUGCACUAGGUGCUGGGGCGGUAGCUUCAGUGCCGGAGCGAACGUGGUAAGUGCACCGCCUGGGGAGU